rnacentral:rRNA from 1 species
GGAAUAUUGGACAAUGGGCGAAAGCCUGAUCCAGCAAUGCCGCGUGAGUGAUGAAGGCCUUAGGGUUGUAAAGCUCUUUUACCCGGGGUGAUAAUGACAGUACCGGGAGAAUAAGCUCCGGCUAACUCCGUGCCAGCAGCCGCGGUAAUACGGAGGGAGCUAGCGUUGUUCGGAAUUACUGGGCGUAAAGCGCGCGUAGGCGGUUUUUGGUGUCGGAUGUGAAAGCCCGGGGCUCAACUCCGGAGGUGCAUCCGAAACUCGAAGGCUGGAGGCCGGAAGAGGAGGGUGGAAUACCCAGUGUAGAGGUGAAAUUCGUAGAUAUUGGGUGGAACACCGGUGGCGAAAGCGGCUCUCUGGUCCGGUCCUGACGCUGAGGCGCGAAAGCGUGGGGAGCAAAC